rnacentral:rRNA from 1 species
UACGGAGGGUGCAAGCGUUGUCCGGAUUUAUUGGGUUUAAAGGGUGCGUAGGCGGCUUUUUAAGUCAGCGGUGAAAGACAACAGCUCAACUGUUGCAGUGCCAUUGAUACUGAAGAGCUUGAGUACAGAUGAGGUAGGCGGAAUUUAUGGUGUAGCGGUGAAAUGCAUAGAUACCAUAAAGAACACCUAUUGCGAAGGCAGCUUACUAAGCUGUAACUGACGCUGAGGCACGAAAGUGUGGGGAUCAAACA